ensembl:ncRNA asRNA:CR43786 antisense RNA:CR43786
UUUAGGUAUUCUGAAAUCAAAUUGUACUUUUAACUUGUGUGUUCCCGCCCAGUUGCCCCAUAUAUAUAUUCAUAUUCUUUUCUCCCGAUGUGGUUUCUAUAGCGAGCUUAGGCGCGUUCCUCGGCCACAAUUUCGUUGAGCAGGCGGUUGAGGCUAUCCAGACCGGUAAGGAAUCCCCCGUCGGGUCCAUGGUGCACCGGAGCUGCCGCCGGAGUGGGUAGCAUGGUGCCAUUGCGCGGCACGAAUGCCGUGUGGGCAAAGUCGAUGAGCCGGACGUCCACGAAGCACUGGUUAUCAUCAGUGGGCGGUGCCGACAUGUCCAGCGACUUUGAGCUUUGCUGCAGAAGUGCAUUGCGACGCUGCUCAUUGUUAUUAUCCAGGAGCAGGCCCGACAGCAGAGAUUGCUGGUUUGAGAUACUCUCACAGCUGCGCAGUUGUGGGGCUGCCUUAGCUGGCGAGGAUACGGCCGAAACGGGUGUCGAAGUGAUCGUCGACUUCUUCGCUUCUCGCAAAUCCGAUUCCCCCAGGCUCGCAGACUGCUGAUCAUCAUCAUUGCAUCGUAGCCGCUUCACUGCACCCUUGACCGAUUUCAGAGAGGAGGCGCUGGAUGAAGCGGGCGAAACCAGUGAACGGACUGUGGUGCCGCCAUUGGAAACGCUCGAGUUUCCGGCAGUGAGUGGCGGGGAGGACGCAGAGUCGGCAGCUGUGGCGGCGUCAAAAGAUUGCUGAGACUUAUAUCGCUUAAACAUAGCCUCCGUUGGCCCAAUGAUACUGCUUUCGUAAUCUGAACUUGCGUCAUCACUGCUGUUAUUGCCUAAAAACAAGAAGAACUUGGUUAAGCUGCACGAUGUAUAAAUAUAUAAUUAAUCUU